rnacentral:rRNA from 1 species
GGAUGAACGCUAGCGGGAGGCUUAACACAUGCAAGUCGAGGGGCAGCACAGAUAGCAAUAUUAGGUGGCGACCGGCGGACGGGUGAGUAACGCGUAUGCAACCUACCCUGUACAGGGGGAUAGCCCGGAGAAAUUCGGAUUAAUACCCCAUGGUUCAGUGAAUCUGCAUGGAUUUACUGAUAAAUCUUCGGAGGUACGGGAUGGGCAUGCGUUCCAUUAGCUAGUUGGUAGGGUAACGGCCUACCAAGGCAACGAUGGAUACGGGGUCUUAAAGGAUGGACCCGCACACUGGCACUGAGACACGGGCCAGACUCCUACGGGAGGCAGCAGUGAGGAAUAUUGGUCAAUGGGGGGAACCCUGAACCAGCCAUCCCGCGUGCAGGAAGACAGUUCUAUGGAUUGUAAACUGCUUUUACUGGGGAAGAAUAAUGUUGACGAGUCGACAGAUGACGGUACCCAGUGAAUAAGCAUCGGCUAACUCCGUGCCAGCAGCCGCGGUAAUACGGAGGAUGCAAGCGUUAUCCGGAUUUAUUAGGUUUAAAGGGUGUGUAGGCUGAUGUAUAAGUCAGUGGUGAAAGUCUGUAGCUCAACUAUAGAAUUGCCAUUGAUACUGUAUGUCUUGAGUGUGGUUGAGGUAUGCGGAAUGUGUAGUGUAGCGGUGAAAUGCAUAGAUAUUACACAGAACACCGAUUGCGAAGGCAGCAUGCUAAGCCACAACUGACGCUGAUGCACGAAAGCGUGGGGAUCAAACAGGAUNAGAUACCCUGGUAGUCCACGCUGUAAACUAUGAUUACUCGCUGUUGGCGAUAUAAAGUCAGUGGCUAAGCGAAAGCAAUAAGUAAUCCACCUGGGGAGUACGAUCGCAAGAUUGAAACUCAAAGGAAUUGACGGGGGCCCGCACAAGCGGAGGAACAUGUGGUUUAAUUCGAUGAUACGCGAGGAACCUUACCUGGGCUUAAAUGUAUGUUGCAUGGAGUGGAAACAUUCCUUUCCUUCGGGACUACGUACAAGGUGCUGCAUGGUUGUCGUCAGCUCGUGCCGUGAGGUGUCGGGUUAAGUCCCAUAACGAGCGCAACCCCUGUUGUCAGUUGCCAGCAUGUAAUGGUGGGGACUCUGACAAGACUGCCGGUGUAAACCGUGAGGAAGGUGGGGAUGACGUCAAAUCAGCACGGCCCUUAUGUCCAGGGCCACACACGUGUUACAAUGGUCGGUACAACGGGCAGCCACCUGGCGACAGGGCGCUAAUCCCGAAAGCCGAUCGUAGUUCGGAUCGGAGUCUGCAACUCGACUCCGUGAAGCUGGAUUCGCUAGUAAUCGCGCAUCAGCCAUGGCGCGGUGAAUACGUUCCCGGACCU